GUCAUAUGCUUUGUUCAAGGGCUAAGCCAUGCAUGUUUGAGAUCGCACGUUGACGUUCCAGAAUAAUCGGUCUGCGAAUGGCUCAUUACGACAGCUGUAAUCCUGCACGACAUUCCGCCACUGCUGUGUUUUUGGUUGCUGCUUUCCCUUGUCCUCGAACCGCGGCGCAACGGUGUUCUCCCAGCCUGCAGGCGCAGAACGUUUCUCGCGAAUCUUAUGUGCGCGCAUUCAUGUCCAACCGGUCGAUCAAGAUACGAAGGGGUCGCAGUGGAAAUGGAGCCGACGAUCGUAGCCAAAUGGCGCGCAUGAGGCUUUGUGGCGCACCUCCGUUCUUGUGUGAUCCAGAUGGGCAGCGCUGUAUCUUUGUGAGGUACGCCAGCAGCGCGGUCCUACGCACAUUCGACGGGGUGCGCAUCCCCAUGCAGAACGGUUUUGCUGUCGGCUCCGAUGUGUGCUGUGGCUCUCCUGGAUCCCAUGCGUAACGCGGGUCUAUAUGUGAUCAUCCCCGCGCGCAAACACGGACGGAGACCACGGCUCUCUACCCUUUUGUUACGACGUUUCUGGAGAAGGCGUGCAGCGAGAUGACACACUACGGCUGAUGUGGAUCGAUAUGCGAACCGAGCUCCCCGGUGUAUUGCGUACGAGCGAACAACAAGGUUGAUGGAAAGGGUCAGUGUUGAAAGUGGAGACAACCCUUUGAAACAGUUGGCCAAUACAUGUGGAUGCAUCCUCUGACCAACCUCCCCUGAGCGGAUCUGUUUACGAGACACCUCUUUGUGAGGGUUGCAUCCGCCUAGAGACGGGUUGAGUGCGCUCUGUUGGUUCGCGUUUGAUCGAUACAAAGGCUCAUGUCUCGAUGUUGUGCUUUUACUGCUACGUGCACCCGACGUAUUGCGUCCGGUUCGUGUACACCGCCGCCGCCACCGGUGCAGCUUGCGAUCCUGCACGGCCCAAUCUUUGUGGUGCGGGCAAACGGGGGCGGCUAUACUUUGUGGCGCGCAGAUGCGGGGUGAGAUGUUCGCGAACCGUCGGGAUGUCUGAGGCGGAAGAUGUGUGGAGCACGGAUUUGAAAAUGCGCAGCUUGCUGAAUCAGAUCAAACUUGGAACUUGUUGUGGCCGCUUUCGGUUUUGCCUCGAUCCUUCGUUGGUGCACGAUAUCUGUUCGUGUCUGUCUGCCUGUGUGUGUGGCCUGGGAAACCACGUGUCGAUGCCUCGGAUGCUUUGUGCAUUAAUUAUGGUGACUUGUGUGCGCCUCUAUGUGACGGGGAAAAUGGCGCGCGCACCAGACGAGAGAGAGAGGCGAUUGCCAGCGAAGGAGGAUUGCGAGGCGCAGAUCGAUUGAAAACACGCGGCCCCCGCGAGCACAUCAGAAAGGUUGUAGCCGAGCGAUAGCAAAACUCCCAAGUCGUUUGCAUUGGAUUGUUUGCCAAGUCGUAUGGGCAGCUGCCCUAUCAGCCGUUGAUUGUGGUGUAUUGAACCAUGAUGGCAGUUACGGGUAACGCGGAAUGAGGGUUCGAUUCCGGAGAGGGAGCCUGAAAAAUGGCUACCACAACUAAGGUUGGCAGCAGGCGCGCAAAUUGCCCAAUCACAACGUCCUGGAUGAGGCAGCGACGAAACAUGAUGCACUGCGCUGACUUUACGUUGGCCUGUGUGGAAUGGAUGAGAUCCUAAAUCAUGCAAUGAGCAUCAACUUGAGGACCAGUCUGGUGCCAGCACCCGCGGUAAUUCCAGCUCAAGUGGCGUACACUGAUGUUGUUGCUGUUAAAAAGCUCGUAGUUGAUUGUUAAGGAUAGGCAGCCCAGUACCGUCCGCGCACGGACCUUCUCCGUCCUCGCACCUUAUAUAUGCUCCGAAAAGGAUCACGCAAAGGUACAGGACACCCAGCGAGAACCGUGUUUUUGCUUGGACAGUUGCCCCGCCGUCCCUAUUUCAAUGUCCUUCGGCAGAUAUUGGGUUCUCCACGGAAGCGAAUUCUCCACUCGACGUUUGUGCGCACGGCUGUGAUCUGGGCGUGCCGCGUGUUGCUAUCUGUGCGCGCGCUUCCGCCACGGCCUGGCGCCAUACUCCACUCCGUUUGGCAACAUUGGAUCACCUUCCUGUCAGCAGAUGCAUCCAUCGUUUUGAAUCGUGCUGGUGUUGUGCCCCUAUUAUGAUCCAUCCGAUUUGACGCAAAGUGAGAUCGUCCGUGAAUCGUUACCGUGACUAAAUCAGAGUGCUAUACGCAGUUGCGGGACUUGCCCAUCCGGGGGCUGCGUGGCGUGCGUGUUCCUACACGCGUGCCGCGCGGCAUUGCCUCGGUGCGGCGCAACCGCAGAUCCGACCGUAUGCUCAAGUGCGACAUGGCAAGGGAUCGUCCAAGUGGCCCUCAGGCAUGCGCGCACCAUAUGGCGCGUUUUGCCUUUUCAUUGUUCUGACAGCCUUUGUGAACCACUCUCUCCUGGAAAAAUUGGAUUGCCGUUGCGCGUUCCUUGUGAUGACCGAGGCCGUUGCAUGUCAUGGGUACUCAACCGCGAGCGGUGAAAUGCUUAGACCGGAUGAGGACCACCAGAGGCUAACGCGCGUGACAGCUUCGUGCCUGCCAAUCAAGAACGAGAGUGUGGGGAUCGAAGAUGAUCAGAUACCGUCAUAGUCCACUGCCGUAAACGAUGCAAACUGGGAAACGGGCUUGCGUUCCGCCUAUGUGAAUGUCUUGCUCGGUUCUUCCCACCUCCACGAACGAGAAAUCCAAGUGUAUGGGUUCAGGGGGGAGUAUCGUCGCAAGGCUGAAACUUAAAGGAAUUGACGGAGUGGCACCACAAGGCGUGGAGUGUGCGGCUUAAUUUGACUCAACACGGGGAACGUUACCAGAUCAGAUCGUAUUAAAUGAUGGACAGGUUGAAGUACUUUCUCGACGAUCGCAAGAGUGGUGCAUGGCCGUUCCUGGUUGGUGGAGUGAUCUGUCUGGUUGAUUCCGGUAACGAACGAGGUCUCCGCUACGCAGUAGUCCACCUUCUCGUUGUAGGGUCCAUGCGCCUGCGUUGAUUACCGGGUUGGAUGGUGGUGCAGAGGUUUUCCGGAUGCACCUAUAUACUCCCUCCUUCCCAGACCAUGGUAUGCGCAGGAGAUGCAGCCCGAGAGUUCUGUGCAAAAGCAAAUGCUGCUUCGUGGGCUUGAGCAUUAUUCGAAAUGAUACAGUGUUUUCAUCUUGGAGCCGACAGCAGGUCUGUGAUGCCCUUAGAUGCUCUGGACUGCACGCGCACGACACUGGCGUUAUCUACGUGUUCCAAUGCUUCGUUGAUGUGAUUCUCUCGUUUGGCUCGUCCGUCCGUUUGACCUAGCAGCUCCAUUUUCGUGUCUGACCCCGUUUUUUCUUCCCGGAGGAGAGGCGUCGUUCGCUUGCGAUUGGCAUACCGAUUCUGAAGCUGGGACUGGCAAUCCCAUGAAUAUACGUCGUGACUGGGCUCGGUGAUUGAAACUGUUUACCUUCAAAGAGGAAUGCCUAGUACGAACAAGUCAUCAGCUUGUGCGGAUUUUGUCUCUGCCAUUUGUACACACCGCCCGUCGUUGCUACCGAUGAUGAAGUGAUAAAGACCAGAGGAGAUUCGUUUUUGGUUGCUGGCGCUACCGCUGUGUCUCAUGCAUUCAAGGAAAUACAAUGGAAUACUUUACCGUGUCUAUAUGAGCUAAUCUGUCCAAUAUUACUUCGUUCGAGGAAGCAAAAGUCGUAACAAGGUUGCUGUAGGUGA
rnacentral:rRNA from 1 species